CUGCCCUUAGCUCAGUUGGAUAGAGCACAAGCCUUCUAAGUUUGGGGUCACAGGUUCGAGUCCUGUAGGGCAGGCCA
rnacentral:tRNA from 1 species